rnacentral:lncRNA from 1 species
AUACCGUUUACAACCGUUCCGUGUAGGCCGUUUAGACCGUUUUCUCCGUUUUUUGACCGUUUAAACGGUCAACCGUUUAAUUUCCCAUUUACCCCCUAAACAAAACAGUUUGCCACCGUUUACCGUUUAAUGACCGUUUAAUCGGCCGUUUAGGCCGUUUAGGCGAACACUGCUCAUGAUAAGCUCUCUCAUGGAAAUGAUGAAUAGUUGCUCUGCCAUGACUAGUUCUUAAAAUUGAAAUCUCUCUCAAGUUUAGGCAUGACUGUUAAGAAGUACGAUUUGCUCUAAACCUGAACUUGUGAGAAGAGUACUCGAUCUAAAGUCUAAGUCGUUAACGGAUAUGAUAUGGGAAGGUUGAGCUGCUGUUUAUCUGUUCCUAGAGAUGCUAGAAUUCUGGAGAAUUUUAUCUUUAAAAAUAUUUAAAAUAUCACAUGAUGAGUUCCUAUAUGAUGAGAGUUUAAAUUCCUACCACAGCCAUAUAUACAUGCUUGCUAGACUUUGAGCCACAUAUUUACUUUUUACUGCUUAUGAGCAUUGAGUGUGGUCAAGCUGUGUAGACCCUUAGGAGCUUGUCAUGUGGUUAAAAUCAAGAUUCACUUGCACGUUCACUCAUACAUGCUACUUCUACUCCGGAAGUACCAUCCACAUAUAUCUACUCAUUUCCAUCUCCACAUUCAUUCGAAAUUAUUCUACUCCUAAUCCGGAGAGAAUAGCCAAAAAUAUUUUCCUAUCCCUGUUAUUCCCUGUGAAAUAAAUGCUCAAGUUAUCUUGUUUACUACCAAUUGCUAUAUUAUUUAAGGAGAUGAGUGCUCUAAAAAAAAGAGAAAGAGAAAAUAAUAUACGAGGAAAUAAAAAGGGGCAAGUGCCCGGAACCUCGAAAGAAAAGAAAAAGUGAGACGAGAGGUAAAAAUGGACAAGUGUCCGAUAGUAGAAUUAGGGGUACAAGAUACCCACCUGAGAAAAUAAAAGAGAAACUAUAGAGCAUCUCAUUCUCCCCAAAAAGCUUCAAAAUGCAAGAAAGGUAUGUAUCAUCUCAAAAGAGCAAAAGUAGAAUUAGACUUUCACCACUUCUAUCACCUUUAUCACCAUACGCCAUUCAUUUGCCACACAUGCACAUCUUGAUUUGACUUAUUGACUUGUUUCUCUAGAUCCAUGGUUUGACUAUGCAAUAAAUGUCUUGUAAGUAUGUAUUAGCUGUCUCCCACCUAUGAGCUCCAGAUAUCAGAACCUUAUUAGAGUAGGGUGAGAGAUAAGGCAAUAUCACUAUGCCUCAUACCAAAAAUACCACAUACUUUGAGAGAAGGCAUGUACCAUUACUAACUUGGUAAGGAUCCAGAACUACCACAAAAGAGAGAUCUGAGAGAGUCAUAUAAGGAAUCUCUGAGUUUUAUUUGAAAAUCUGCAAAAACCCCAGAGCUAUAGCUGACCA